rnacentral:rRNA from 1 species
GGUGAAAAGCACCCCGGAAGGGGAGUGAAAUAGAACCUGAAACCGUGUGCUUACAAGUAGUCAGAGCCCGUUAAUGGGUGAUGGCGUGCCUUUUGUAGAAUGAACCGGCGAGUUACGAUUUGAUGCAAGGUUAAGCAGUAAAUGUGGAGCCGUAGCGAAAGCGAGUCUGAAUAGGGCGUUUAGUAUUUGGUCGUAGACCCGAAACCAGGUGAUCUACCCUUGGUCAGGUUGAAGUUCAGGUAACACUGAAUGGAGGACCGAACCGACUUACGUUGAAAAGUGAGCGGAUGAACUGAGGGUAGCGGAGAAAUUCCAAUCGAACCUGGAGAUAGCUGGUUCUCUCCGAAAUAGCUUUAGGGCUAGCCUCAAGUGAUGAUUAUUGGAGGUAGAGCACUGUUUGGACGAGGGGCCCCUCUCGGGUUACCGAAUUCAGACAAACUCCGAAUGCCAAUUAAUUUAACUUGGGAGUCAGAACAUGGGUGAUAAGGUCCGUGUUCGAAAGGGAAACAGCCCAGACCACCAGCUAAGGUCCCAAAAUAUAUGUUAAGUGGAAAAGGAUGUGGCGUUGCCCAGACAACUA